UACAGAGGGGGCAAGCGUUGUUCGGAAUUACUGGGCGUAAAGGGCUCGUAGGCGGUUUGUUGCGUCGGCUGUGAAAUCCCGAGGCUCAACCUCGGGUCUGCAGUCGAUACGAGCAAACUAGAGUGUUGCAGGGGAGACUGGAAUUCCUGGUGUGGCGGUGAAAUGCGCAGAUAUCAGGAGGAACACCGGUGGCGAAGGCGGGUCUCUGGGCAACAACUGACGCUGAGGAGCGGAAGCGUGGGGAGCGAACAGG
rnacentral:rRNA from 1 species